GUACACUCCUGCGGGAGGCAGCAGUGGGGAAUAUUGGACAAUGGGCGCAAGCCUGAUCCAGCCAUGCCGCGUGAGUGAUGAAGGCCCUAGGGUUGUAAAGCUCUUUCACCGGUGAAGAUAAUGACGGUAAUCGGAGAAGAAGCCCCGGCUAACUUCGUGCCAGCAGCCGCGGUAAUACGAAGGGGGCUAGCGUUGUUCGGAUUUACUGGGCGUAAAGCGCACGUAGGCGGACUAUUAAGUCAGGGGUGAAAUCCCGGGGCUCAACCCCGGAACUGCCUUUGAUACUGGUAGUCUUGAGUUCGAGAGAGGUGAGUGGAAUUCCGAGUGUAGAGGUGAAAUUCGUAGAUAUUCGGAGGAACACCAGUGGCGAAGGCGGCUCACUGGCUCGAUACUGACGCUGAGGUGCGAAAGCGUGGGGAGCAAACAGGAUUAGAAACCCUGGUAGUCCCAU
rnacentral:rRNA from 1 species